CCAUCAAGUUUGGUGUUUAUGACGUCGAUAUUCGACGUCAUAAACACCAUCAAGUUUGGUGUUUCUGACGUCGAAUAUCGACGUCAUAAACACCAUCAAGU